rnacentral:rRNA from 1 species
AGAGUUUGAUCAUGGCUCAGAACGAACGCUGGCGGCAUGCCUAACACAUGCAAGUCGAACGAGACCUUCGGGUCUAGUGGCGCACGGGUGCGUAACGCGUGGGAAUCUGCCCUGGGGUGCGGAAUAACUCGGAGAAAUCCGUGCUAAUACCGCAUAAUGUCUUCGGACCAAAGAUUUAUCGCCCUGGGAUGAGCCCGCGUAGGAUUAGCUUGUUGGUGGGGUAAUGGCCUACCAAGGCGACGAUCUUUAGCUGGUCUGAGAGGAUGAUCAGCCACACUGGGACUGAGACACGGCCCAGACUCCUACGGGAGGCAGCAGUGGGGAAUAUUGGACAAUGGGCGCAAGCCUGAUCCAGCAAUGCCGCGUGAGUGAUGAAGGCCUUAGGGUUGUAAAGCUCUUUUACCAGGGAUGAUAAUGACAGUACCUGGAGAAUAAGCUCCGGCUAACUCCGUG